CCUACGGGAGGCAGCAGUGAGGAAUCUUUGUCAAUGGGCUUACGCCUGAUCCAGCCAAGUCGCGUGAGGGAAGACUGCCCUAUGGGUUGUAAACCUCUUUUGUCAGGGAGCAACGCCGGCUACGUGUAGCCGGACUGAGAGUACCUGAAGAAAAUGCAUCGGCUAACUCGGUGCCAGCAGCCGCGGUCAUACGGAGGAUGCGAGCGUUAUCCGGAUGUAUUGGGGUUAAAUGGUGCGUAGGCGGAAUGCCAAGUCAGCGGUAAAAUCGCGGGGCUCAAUCUCGCUCCGCCGUUGAAACUGGCGUUCUUGAGUGGGCGAGAAGUAUGCGGAAUGCGUGGUGUAGCGGUGAAAUGCAUAGAUAUCACGCAGAACUCCGAUUGCGAAGGCAGCAUACCGGCGCCCAACUGACGCUGAAGCACGAAAGCGUGGGUAUCGAACAGGAUUAGAUACCCCAGUAGUC
rnacentral:rRNA from 1 species